rnacentral:tRNA from 1 species
AUUUAAAUAGUUUAAAUAAAACAUUGAUUUGUGGAAUCAAAAAUGUAAUGAUUUACUUUAAAUA